rnacentral:rRNA from 1 species
UUUAUUUAGAGUUUGAUCCUAGCUCAGGAUGAACGCUGGCGGUGUGGAUAAGGCAUGCAAGUCGAGCGCCUCGCAAGAGGAGCGGCAGACGAGGUUGUAACACGUAGGUACGUACCCUAAAGUCAGGAAUAACUCCGGGAAACCGGAGCUAAUACUUGAUAGUCUCUCUUGGAUUUAUCCUUGGGAGUAAAGAUUUAUCGCUUUAGGAACGGCCUGCGGGCUAUCAGCUAGUUGGUAGGGUAACGGCCUACCAAGGCGAUGACGGCUAGGGGAGCUGAGAGGCUGACCCCCAUCGAUGGAACUGAGACACGGUCCAUACACCUACGGGUGGCUGCAGCCGAGAAUAUUCGACAAUGCGCGAAAGCGUGAUCGAGCGACACCGCGUGGUUGAUGAAGUCCUUCGGGAUGUAAAAACCUUUUGUGAGAUAGAAAGUCAUUGAUCAUCUCAAGAAUAAGGGGUUGCUAAACUCGUGCCAGCAGCAGCGGUAAUACGAGUGCCCCAAGCGUUAUCCGGAAUUAUUGGGCGUAAAGGGUGUGUAGGUGGUUGUAUUAGUCUUCUGUGAAAUUCUUCGGCUUAACCGGGGACCCGCAGGGGAAACGGUACAACUAGAGGAUGCGAGAGGUGAAUGGAACUCAUGGAGUAGGGGUGAAAUCCGUUGAUAUCAUGGGGAACACCAAAUGCGAAGGCAGUUCACUGGCGCACUCCUGACACUGAAACACGAAAGCGUAGGUAGCGAAUGGGAUUAGAUACCCCAGUAGUCUACGCCCUAAACGAUCCAGACUGGGUUUUCGGAGUAUCGACCCUCUGAGAGCCGAAGCUAACGCGUUAAGUCUGGCGCCUGGGUAGUACGGCCGCAAGGCUAAAACUCAAAGGAAUAGACGGGGACUUGCACAAGCAGUGGAUUAUGUGGUUUAAUUCGACGGUAAACGAAGAACCUCACCAAGAUUUGAAACCUAGAUGAAUGUUGCAGAAACGUAACAGUCCGCAAGGACAUUUAGGCAGGUGUUGCAUGGUCGUCGUCAGUUCGUGGCUUGAGUUGUUCCCUUCAGUGGGGAAACGAACGCAACCCUCGUUGCCUGUUACAAGUGUCAGGCGAGACUGCCCCCGCAAUAGUUUGUAAAAGACAGCCAGCGCGUUUCAGAAGAAUGUAUCUUCUGAACGAGUUAGCGAAGCGCUUUAGUGAAGAAGAUAUAUUCUUCGCAAAAUGCGUUGUCAUUAUUAAUUAUUUCGGGGGAGGAAGGCGAGGAUGACGCCAGAUCAGCAUGACCCUCUGAUAUCUUGGGCUACACACAUAAUACAAUCGCCGCUACAACGCGACGCAAUGAGGUAACUCGGAGCAAAUCGUUAGAAAAGCGGCGCCAGUUCGGAUUGGGGUCUGCAACUCGACCCCAUGAAGCCGGAAUUGCUAGUAAUCGCAGGUCAGCUAUACUGCGGUGAAUACGUUCUCAAGUCUUGUACUCACCGCCCGUCAACUCAAGGGAGCUGGUAGUACCCGAAGCCCAUCCAUGUGAUGGUCUACGGUAAAAUCAGUAACAGGGAGUAAGUCGUAACAAGGCACGGGUAGCGGAAGCUGCUCGUGGAACAUUUCAAGG